rnacentral:rRNA from 1 species
CGUCAAGUCCUCAUGGCCCUUAUGGGUAGGGCUUCACACGUCAUACAAUGGUACAUACAGAGGGCCGCCAACCCGCGAGGGGGAGCUAAUCCCAGAAAGUGUAUCGUAGUCCGGAUUGCAGUCUGCAACUCGACUGCAUGAAGUUGGAAUCGCUAGUAAUCGCGGAUCAGCAUGUCGCGGUGAAUACGUUCCCGGGUCUU